GCAGUGCUCUUUGGGUGUCUCCAGCAUGGCAUGGCCUCUGCUCAUCCUCACACUGCUCAGUGAAGGUUCAUGGGCUCAGUCAACCCUCACUCAGCCUCCCUCAGCUUCUGGAUCUCUUGGCCAGACAGCUACCAUUUCCUGUACUGGAACCAGCAAUGAUAUUGGGAAGUACAAUUAUGUAUCUUGGUACCAACAGCAACCAGGAUUAAACCCCAAACUCCUGAUUUACUACGUGAACAGUCGUCCCUCAGGGAUUUCUGAUCGUUUCUCUGGCUCCAAGUCUGGCAACACAGCCUCCCUGACCAUCUCAGGGCUCGAGCCUGAGGAUGAGGCUGAUUAUUACUGUGCUUCAUAUACAGCAAGUAACACUUUACACAGUAGUGAAAGUGGAUGGGGAAGUUAAACUAAAACCUGCUUUGAACUCACAGCUUCCUUCUUGCUCUGAAGUUGCUUUCUCAGCCUGUGCAGAGUGGUGUUCAUGCCAUGUGACUCCGAAAUUCAUUUUCUCUAAAUUCAGACCCUCUCAUCUCCAUCAACUAACUUCAAAAGAACCAAGUGUCCAGUAGAUACAUUGAUGUCCCGACUGACUUUCCUGGUGGGUUUGUUGACACUUAUGUUAUUGGAUUCUUGAGCUAGUUUCCAGUACACAGGGUUCUUCCCAGCACUGGAUGAAUGGACUUUUUAAAUUCUUGGACUUUUGCAUCCUUCUAUGGCUUUCUGAACAGGCUUAUUAUCUCUUGGUUUCCUAUUCAAAUGUGCAUGUUCUGCUGAUGGACUAGGACCCCAUGUGAACUUUUUGCCAUUGGCUACCCUUUUACC